GUGUUCAUUUCAGCAGCACAUAUACUAAAAUUGGGGAUACUGAGAAGAUUAGCAUGGCUCUUGUGCAAGGAUGAUAUGCAAAUUCAUGAAAUGUCAACAUUGGGU